ensembl:snRNA U6 U6 spliceosomal RNA
GUGCUCAUGUCAGCAGCACACAUUCUAAAAUUGGAAUGACACAGAGGUUAGUAUGGAAGAUGACACACAAAUUUAUGAACCGUUCCAUAUUUUA